UGUCUUCAUUGACAGGUUUUGAAACUGCUCAAGGGAAUUUUAUUUUCCAAGACACCUCUGACAGAUGUGUUUCUUAGAAAGCAAGAAUUUACAUCUGAAGGUUUAAAAUUUGAGAUGGGAGAAGUGUUGCAGUCUUCCUUGAGCUCUGCAGAAGGUUUGAAUUUGAAAUUAAUGGUGAAUAAGUCGAUUAAAAAAGUAUUAUAUGCUGAAGCAGGGGAAGACAUGGUUGACUUUCUUCUCAGCUUCCUUACUUUUCCCCUUGGAUCCAUUUUACGACUCUUGGGUGGGAAUUCAUCACUGGGAUCCAUGGACAAUUUGUAUAGGAGUGUGGAAUGUUCAGGAGUUACGAGGGAUGAUAGUCUAAGAGAGCUGCUGCUGCAACCUGUGGUCAGCCGUGGUUUUGGUUGUAGUAGCAACCCACUAGGAGUAAAAGAAUCUGAACAGCCUCCUCCUUCCUUGUGGUGUAAAAGUGUACAGGAUUUUAGUCAUAACUACUCUUACACCUUUUUCCUGACUACUGAGAUGAAUAAUGCGAAUCAUUUUGGCACCCUUUCACGAUUACAAUUUGUAAAUCCCAAGUCUCCAACAAGUGAAACAGCAGGUCAAGGAGGAUUUCUCAAGGAACCAGAGACGUUCUUCAUAACAGACAAUUUGGUUUUCACUCCAAUAGAUUCCUUCUGGAGUCUCUCCUUUCUUAAAAGCAUGGAGUUUUCCCUAGAUGACUUGGAGGUUCGUACGGUUAAAGUGGGCACGGUGGAGGCUUUGAGGAUAUUGAAGGCUUCUCUCCUCUCCCAAACAGUGUUGACUGAUGCCUUGGUCAACUUUGCUCUAAAGAUUCCCAAACAAGAAAAGUAGACCUUGCUAGAGACAAAAUGGGAUUUAAAAUAGCCUAGAGUUCUACUGAACCUUAAUUUAGUACAGGGGCUUUCUACAUAUCUCCACUGAUUAUGAUGACUAUGAAGUAAAUAACGAGUAAAUCAAUGAACAAAGCAUUAAGUGCUGAAGGGUAUUAGUCAUGCUUCUUUUGCCAAGGAUACUGAAGGCUUCUCUCUUCUCCAAAUCUGUAUUGACUGAUGCCUUGUUCAACUUUCCCCGAAAGCGUCCCAAGCUAGAAAAGUAGGACAUAGUAAGGACAUGGAUUUAAACUAGACUAAGGUUCAGUGACCUUUGUAAGGGUCAGUAAGUCAGUUGAUUUGAUUAACUUGCUCGAUCUUUAUAUGUAGACUUGGGUUUGGUUUCGAUGUUCCCCUUGUAGAACAGCAUACUAGUCUAUAGCCUUUUUUAUUUGUA